CACGUAGGGCGCGAGCGUUGUCCGGAAUUAUUGGGCGUAAAGAGCUCGUAGGUGGCCUGUCGCGUCGGCUGUGAAAACUCGGGGCUCAACUCCGAGCUUGCAGUCGAUACGGGCAGGCUAGAGUUCGGCAGGGGAGACUGGAAUUCCUGGUGUAGCGGUGAAAUGCGCAGAUACCAGGAGGAACACCGGUGGCGAAGGCGGGUCUCUGGGCCGAUACUGACACUGAGGAGCGAAAGCGUGGGGAGCGAACAGG
rnacentral:rRNA from 1 species